UGACCAGUUACAACCAAUUACAAUCCAUGAUUUAGUGCAUUGGCUUCACAAUAUGUAUUGGUUAUAUUUUGGGCUCUAGUAGAGAAAAUUAAGUUCUAUAGAUAAUUACGAGAAUGAGAAGAAAAAGCAACUCCGCGAAGACAAACAAACAAUACAAAGAUUAUAAUAGCACAAGCAGAACUGCUAAACAUGCUACUCGAGCUUAUGGACAACAAACAACGCCAAAUCUGAAAAGAAAUAGGAGAUGAGCUAGCAAGAACUGAAGCCAAAAAGACUUGAUUUUAGAGGGAACAAAGCUCACGCCUCCACGCCACAGUCAGAGGCUCCGCAACCAUAGAUCACAAGCCAAAACCAUAAAUGAGCAUUCCAGUUAGAUGGCAAGAAGCAACUAUAAAUUCUUACCAGAAGCGCACACAACAACACAAAAUUCCUGAAAGCUCUCUAAAUCCGGUAGAAGAGCUGGAAGAGUUGCAGUUGCCAUCGCUAAAGCUACAACCCUCACCAAGUUUCUUCUCAUCGAGAAGAAAUCACCAACAUGGUGGAUUGAGUUGUCGAGAUGAAUAGGGAAGGAAAAAGCUUCACCGAGAAAAGCGACCACGGCAAAAAGAUGGAUAUGGCCGCAGUGGCAGACGAACUUUAUUCAUGAGAGAAAUUUGAGGGUGCAUGAAACACACACACGUUUCUCUUGUCCGCUAUGUCUAAUGCUACUGUUUAAAUUCUAAGUAAACUUUUUUUUUUUUUUCUCACAUUUGAAUUAUGUCACACUGCAAAAUCGCAUUUCAAUGCGAAUCUUUAUCAUUUGCGACAUUUCCAUGUAAAUCCAUUUCAUUUAUGAGAACUAACAAAUUAUCAUUAUUCCU